rnacentral:rRNA from 1 species
GAUGAACGCUGGCGGCGUGCCUAAUACAUGCAAGUCGAGCGAACAGAUGAGGAGCUUGCUCCUCUGACGUUAGCGGCGGACGGGUGAGUAACACGUGGAUAACCUACCUAUAAGACUGGGAUAACUUCGGGAAACCGGAGCUAAUACCGGAUAAUAUAUUGAACCGCAUGGUUCAAUAGUGAAAGACGGUUUUGCUGUCACUUAUAGAUGGAUCCGCGCCGCAUUAGCUAGUUGGUAAGGUAACGGCUUACCAAGGCAACGAUGCGUAGCCGGCCUGAUAGGGGGGUUCGGCACACUUGAACUGAGACACGGUCCAGACUCCUACGGGAGGCAGCAGUAGGGAAUCUUCCGCAAUGGGCGAAAGCAUGACGGAGCAACGCCGCGUGAGUGAUGAAGGUCUUCGGAUCGUAAAACUCUGUUAUUAGGGAAGAACAAAUGUGUAAGUAACUAUGCACGUCUUGACGGUACCUAAUCAGAAAGCCACGGCUAACUACGUG